UACGUAGGGGGCAAGCGUUGUCCGGAUUUAUUGGGCGUAAAGAGCGUGUAGGCGGUUUGGUAGGUCCGCUGUGAAAACUCGAGGCUCAACCUCGAGACGCCGGUGGAAACCAUCAGACUAGAGUCCGGAAGAGGAGAGUGGAAUUCCUGGUGUAGCGGUGAAAUGCGCAGAUAUCAGGAAGAACACCCGUGGCUAAGGCGGUUCUCUGGGACGGUACUGACGCUGAGACGCGAAAGCGUGGGGAGCGAACAGG
rnacentral:rRNA from 1 species